rnacentral:rRNA from 1 species
CGGGGGGGGCAAGCGUUGUUCGGAAUUACUGGGCGUAAAGGGUCUGUAGGUGGCUUGCUAAGUCAGACGUGAAAUCCCUCAGCUUAACUGGGGAACUGCGUCUGAGACUGGCGAGCUUGAGUGCAGGAGAGGAACGCGGAAUUCCAGGUGUAGCGGUGAAAUGCGUAGAUAUCUGAAGGAACACCGGUGGCGAAGGCGGCGUUCUGGACUGCAACUGACACUGAAAGACGAAAGCCAGGGGAGCAAACGGGAUUAGAUACCCCGGUAGUCCUGGCCCUAAACGAUGAAUGCUUGGUGUGGCGGGUAUCGAUCCCUGCCGUGCCGAAGUUAACGCGUUAAGCAUUCCGCCUGGGGAGUACGGUCGCAAGGCUG